rnacentral:sRNA from 1 species
AUAUGUACACACGGCUGAGCACCUUCCAGAUUUUGCUGCAGUUCCCAGUGUGGACUCACUCACCAUGUGGCUUUACAUUCAAGUCCCUUUUCCCUCUGUGAUUUCUUGCCCGUCCCCUCCCUCCCUCCUGCUGCGACUGUGGGACUGUGGCCCAGGGGUGGACAUGAUCAGUAAGAUGCUGAAGAUGCAGAUGUUGGAGGAUGAGGACGACCUGGCCUAUGCAGAGACCGAGAAGAAGACGAGGACAGACUCUACAUCCGACGGGCGCCCUGCCUGGAUGCGGACGCUGCACACCACCGCGUCCAACUGGCUCCACCUCAUCCCCCAGACGCUGAGCCACCUCAAGCGCACUGUGGAGAAUAUCAAGGAUCCUCUGUUCAGGUUCUUUGAGAGAGAAGUGAAGAUGGGUGCGAAGCUGCUUCAGGACGUUCGCCAGGACCUUGCGGAUGUCGUCCAGGUGUGCGAAGGAAAGAAGAAGCAGACCAACUACUUGCGCACGCUGAUCAACGAGCUGGUGAAAGGUGCGUGAGAGGCCGAACUCGUGGUGUGGCCUCCGGCGGGCACCUUGGCCUGGGGCCACG